AAGAUAUUAGAAAAACUAUUUCAUGGCUUUGUCAAAGCUAAAUCAUAGGUCAAACCCUAUAUAUCUUA
rnacentral:tRNA from 2 species